AGAGUUUGAUCAUGGCUCAGAGCGAACGCUGGCGGCAGGCCUAAUACAUGCAAGUCGAACGGUUCUUCGGAACAGUGGCGGACGGGUGAGUAACACGUGGGAACGUGCCUUUAGGUUCGGGACAACCCAGGGAAACUUGGGCUAAUACCGAAUAAGCCCUUCGGGGGAAAGAUUUAUCGCCUUUAGAGCGGCCCGCGUCUGAUUAGCUUGUUGGUGGGGUAAUGGCCUACCAAGGCUACGAUCAGUAGCUGGUCUGAGAGGAUGAUCAGCCACACUGGGACUGAGACACGGCCCAGACUCCUACGGGAGGCAGCAGUAGGGAAUCUUGCGCAAUGGGCGAAAGCCUGACGCAGCCAUGCCGCGUGGAUGAUGAAGGUCUUAGGAUUGUAAAAUCCUUUCAGCGGGGACGAUAAUGACGGUACCCGCAGAAGAAGCCCCGGCUAACUUCGUGCCAGCAGCCGCGGUAAUACGAAGGGGGCUAGCGUUGCUCGGAUUUACUGGGCGUAAAGGGCGCGUAGGCGGACAGUUUAGUCAGAGGUGAAAGCCCAGGGCUCAACCUUGGAAUUGCCUUUGAUACUGGCUGUCUUGAGUACGGGAGAGGUGAGUGGAACUCCGAGUGUAGAGGUGAAAUUCGUAGAUAUUCGGAAGAACACCAGUGGCGAAGGCGACUCACUGGCCCGUUACUGACGCUGAGGCGCGAAAGCGUGGGGAGCAAACAGGAUUAGAUACCCUAGUAGUCC
rnacentral:rRNA from 1 species